rnacentral:rRNA from 1 species
GAUGAACGCUGGCGGCGUGCCUAAUACAUGCAAGUCGAGCGAACAGACGAGGAGCUUGCUCCUCUGACGUUAGCGGCGGACGGGUGAGUAACACGUGGAUACCCUACCUAUAAGACUGGGAUAACUUCGGGAAACCGGAGCUAAUACCGGAUAACAUGUUGAACCGCAUGGUUCAACAGUGAAAGACGGUCUUGCUGUCACUUAUAGAUGGAUCCGCGCCGCAUUAGCUAGUUGGUAAGGUAACGGCUUACCAAGGCAACGAUGCGUAGCCGACCUGAGAGGGUGAACGGCCACACUGGAACUGAGACACGGUCCAGACUCCUACGGGAGGCAGCAGUAGGGAAUCUUCCGCAAUGGGCGAAAGCCUGACGGAGCAACGCCGCGUGAGUGAAGAAGGUCUUCGGAUCGUAAAACUCUGCUAUUAGGGAAGAACAAAUGUGUAAGUAACUAUGCACGUCUUGACGGUACCUAAUCAGAAAGCCACGGCUAACUACGUG